rnacentral:misc_RNA from 1 species
UAAUUUCUUAGAAUCUAACAACUAAAUCCAAGAACCAAAUUUUAAAUUUCCCUUUGCUCCCAAAUGUCCUCCGCCUCUAUAUCAUCUUCCAUCACCGCCAGAAUCCUCGCUUCAUAUUCCACACUGCCCUUUUCUUUCUCCUGAAGAAGAAAAGUUCCCAUUUUUGUCGCCGAAACCCCUGAAGAAUAAAAGCUCCCAUUUUUGUUCCCGCUACCACUUUUCAAAAUCCUCGACGCAAUACCCAAUAAAAGCACACCAGUGACUACGGCGAACCAUUUUUUCAGCGGCUCGGGGGUAGCGGCGGAGGUAGGCACGUGAUUUUGUUGUUACUAGGGCAUUUAAUGGAGAGAUUGAGAGACUGGGGGAGAAGAGGAAGGAAAGAAUAGCGGUGAGCGUGAUAUGGGUUGAGAUUAAGAGAAGAGGAAGGAGAAGAGGGAGCGUAUUGAGAGUGAGGAAUGAGAAGAUAGGAGAGGGAAGGAGCCAUGGAAA